rnacentral:rRNA from 1 species
GAACGCUGGCGGCGUGCUUAACACAUGCAAGUCGAACGCUGAAGCUUGGUGCUUGCACUGGGUGGAUGAGUGGCGAACGGGUGAGUAAUACGUGAGUAACCUGCCCUUGACUCUGGGAUAAGCCUGGGAAACUGGGUCUAAUACUGGAUACGACAUGUCACCGCAUGGUGGUGUGUGGAAAGGGUUUUACUGGUUUUGGAUGGGCUCACGGCCUAUCAGCUUGUUGGUGGGGUAAUGGCUCACCAAGGCGACGACGGGUAGCCGGCCUGAGAGAGUGACCGGCCACACUGGGACUGAGACACGGCCCAGACUCCUACGGGAGGCAGCAGUGGGGAAUAUUGCACAAUGGGCGGAAGCCUGAUGCAGCGACGCCGCGUGAGGGAUGACGGCCUUCGGGUUGUAAACCUCUUUCAGCACGGAAGAAGCGAAAGUGACGGUACGUGCAGAAGAAGCGCCGGCUAACUACGUG